GAAUAUUGCGCAAUGGGCGAAAGCCUGACGCAGCGACGCCGCGUGGGUGAUGAAGGCCUUCGGGUCGUAAAGCCCUGUCAGGAGGGACGAAACCUCGGCAGGUUAAUAUCCUGUCGACUUGACGGUACCUCCAAAGGAAGCACCGGCUAACUCCGUGCCAGCCGUCGCGGUAAUACGGAGGGGGCGAGCGUUGUUCGGAAUUACUGGGCGUAAAGCGCGUGUAGGCGGCCUUGUAAGUCUGGUGUGAAAGCCCGGGGCUCACCCCCGGAAGUGCAUUGGAUACUGCAAGGCUCGAGUACCGGAGAGGAGGGUGGAAUUCCUGGUGUAGCGGUGAAAUGCGUAGAUAUCAGGAGGAACACCGGUGGCGAAGGCGGCCCUCUGGACGGAUACUGACGCUGAGACGCGAAAGCGUGGGGAGCAAACAGG
rnacentral:rRNA from 1 species